rnacentral:rRNA from 1 species
UACAGAGGUCUCAAGCGUUGUUCGGAUUCAUUGGGCGUAAAGGGCGCGUAGGCGGCCAGCACAAGUCAGUUGUGAAAUCUCCGGGCUUAACUCGGAAAGGUCAACUGAUACUGUGCGGCUAGAGUGCAGAAGGGGCAACUGGAAUUCUCGGUGUAGCGGUGAAAUGCGUAGAUAUCGAGAGGAACACCUGCGGCGAAGGCGGGUUGCUGGGCUGACACUGACGCUGAUGCGCGAAAGCCAGGGGAGCGAACGGG